GACGAACGCUGGCGGCGUGCUUAACACAUGCAAGUCGAACGAGUGGCGAACGGGUGAGUAAUACGUGAGUAACCUGCCCUCUUUUUGGGAUAAGCCUUGGAAACGGGGUCUAAUAACGAAUAAAGGGGGAUGGGCUCGCGGCCUAUCAGCUUGUUGGUGGGGGGAUGGCCUACCAAGGCGGUGACGGGUAGCGGGCCUGAGGGGGUGACCGGCGACUGUGGGACGGAGAGACGGCCUAGAGGCCGACGGGGGGGGGAAGUGGGGGAUAUGGAACAAAGGGCGAAAGCGUGAUGCCGCGACGCCGCGUGGGGGAUGAAGGUUGUAGGGUUGUGAAGCUCGUUCGCAAUCGUGGGGGUAGGUGGAGAAGAAGCGCCGGCUAACUACGUGCCAGCAGCCGCGGUAAUUC
rnacentral:rRNA from 1 species